rnacentral:rRNA from 1 species
GAUGAACGCUGGCGGCGUGCCUAAUACAUGCAAGUCGAGCGAACAGACGAGGAGCUUGCUCCUCUGACGUUAGCGGCGGACGGGUGAGUAACACGUGGAUAACCUACCUAUAAGACUGGGAUAACUUCGGGAAACCGGAGCUAAUACCGGAUAAUAUAUUGAACCGCAUGGUUCAAUAGUGAAAGACGGUUUUGCUGUCACUUAUAGAUGGAUCCGCGCCGCAUUAGCUAGUUGGUAAGGUAACGGCUUACCAAGGCAACGAUGCGUAGCCGACCUGAGAGGGUGAUCGGCCACACUGGAGCUGAGACACGGUCCAGACUCCUGCGGGAGGCAGCAGUAGGGAAUCUUCCGCAAUGGGCGAAAGCCUGACGGAGCAACGCCGCGUGAGUGAUGAAGGUCUUCGGAUCGUAAAACUCUGUUAUGAGGGAAGAACAAAUGUGUAAGUAACUAUGCACGUCUUGACGGUACCUAAUCAGAAAGCCACGGCUAACUACGUG